rnacentral:rRNA from 1 species
GAUGAACGCUGGCGGCGUGCCUAAUACAUGCAAGUCGAACGAAGAUCUAGCUUGCUAGAUCUUAGUGGCGAACGGGUGAGUAAUACAUAAAUAAUCUGCCCAUAUGACUGGGAUAACUAUUGGAAACGAUAGCUAAUACCGGAUAGGUUGAUUGGAGGCAUCUCUGAUUAAUUAAAGUAGGAUUUCUACACAAAUGGAUGAGUUUAUGGCGCAUUAGUUAGUUGGUGGGGUAACGGCCUACCAAGACGAUGAUGCGUAGCCGACCUGAGAGGGUGACCGGCCACACUGGGACUGAGACACGGCCCAGACUCCUACGGGAGGCAGCAGUAGGGAAUUUUCGGCAAUGGGCGCAAGCCUGACCGAGCAACGCCGCGUGAGUGAUUAAGGCCUUCGGGUUGUAAAGCCCUGUUGUAAGGGAAGAACAUUCAGGAUAGGAAAUGAUCUUGAACUGACGGUACCUUACCAGAAAGCCACGGCUAACUACGUGCCAGCAGCCGCAGUAA